rnacentral:tRNA from 1 species
AGUUAAUUAAAUUAAAAGUAUAUUUUGAAAAUAUAACCAAAGAAAAUAAAUUUUCUAUUAACUU